rnacentral:sRNA from 1 species
GCUGGGCACGGAGGUGCACGCCUGUAGUCCCAGAAACUUGGGAGGCUGAGGCAGGAGGAUCAGGAGUUCAAAGCCAGCCUCAGCAAUGUCGAGGCCCAAAGCACCUCAGCGAGACCCUGUCUCUA